CUACUAUGCUGUAUUUUCCCCCUUUUUCUUUCACCUCAUAUUUGGUCCCAAAUGCUGAUACUAUGUGGGGAUGCAUAAAGGGCUCUGGACAUCUGCAAAUGCUGAGUGUUGGGGCUGUGGCUGAGAACCGAACCUUCCGCAUCAGCACAGGCUGUCGUCUUGUACCAUUGCACUACCAAGGCUGAACACACCUCUACCAUAUAGACGUUAAGGGACCACCAGCGAAUGGUGGAAAAACGACACAUGGCUGCGCCCUUGGAGUUCAAGGUUUUGGUGCAAGCAUUGCUCGAAAGGACAAGAUAACAUAAGACUUCACUGAUCCCUCUCCGGUGAAAUGUACAGUAUUCCAGCGGCAUGGAACAACGGUAAUGAACAGGUAACAACAAUUACAGUAUUGUAGAUGAAGACAAAACAAAUUAAAAUCUAUACCUGUAUACAUCAUAUGAAUAAAAAUAUACAUACA